rnacentral:rRNA from 1 species
AUUGAACGCUGGCGGCAUGCUUUACACAUGCAAGUCGAACGGUAACAGGGAGCUUGCUCCGCUGACGAGUGGCGAACGGGUGAGUAAUGCGUCGAAACGUGCCGAGUAGUGGGGGAUAACGCAGCGAAAGUUGUGCUAAUACCGCAUACGUACUGAGGUAGAAAGUGGGGGACCUUCGGGCCUCACGCUAUUCGAGCGGCCGACGUCUGUAUUAGCUAGUAGGUGAGGUAAGGGCUCACCUAGGCGACGAUCAGUAGCGGGUCUGAGAGGAUGAUCCGCAACACUGGGAUUGAGACAAGGCCCAGACGCAUACGGGAGGCAGCAGUGGGGAAUUUUGGACAAUGGGCGAAAGCCUGAUCCAGCCAUGCCGCGUGUCUGAAGAAGGCCUUCGGGUUGUAAAGCACUUUAGUUUGGGAGGAAGAUAUGUUGUUUAAGAGAUGGCAUAUUUGACUGUACCGAAAGAAUAAGCACCGGCUAACUCUGUGCCAGCAGCCGCCGUAA